CCCAGAAGUCUUAGGAAAGAAGGCUGCUUGCAGUUUGCUACAAAGAGAAUAUGAUGAGAUUAUCAGCCAUUCAACAUGAUCAGCCUAUGAAGCCCUUGGACAGAGCAGUCUUCUGGAUCGAGUUUGUCAUGCGCCACAAAGGAGCCAAGCACUUGCGGCCAGCUCUCCAUGACCUCACCUGGUUCCAAUACCACUCUCUGGAUGUCAUUGGGUUCCUGCUGGCCUGUGUGGCAACUGCCAUAUUUGUCAUCACAAAAUGUUGUCUAUUUUGUUGCUGGAAGUUUGCUAAAACAGGAAAGAAGGGGAAAAGAGACUAGCUGUAUCUGAGACUCAGCGCAGGUGUCCCCAACCUCUGAGAUCAAAUGCCUGAUGAUCUGGGGUGGAGCUGAUGCAAUAAUAGAAACAAAGUGAGCAAUACA